AUUGAACGCUGGCGGCAUGCCUUACACAUGCAAGUCGAACGGCAGCACGGGAGCGAUCCUGGUGGCGAGUGGCGAACGGGUGAGUAAUAUAUCGGAACGUGCCCAGUAGUGGGGGAUAACUGCUCGAAAGAGCAGCUAAUACCGCAUACGACCUGAGGGUGAAAGGGGGGGAUCGCAAGACCUCUCGCUAUUGGAGCGGCCGAUAUCAGAUAGCUAGUUGGUGGGGUAAAGGCCUACCAAGGCAACGGUCUGUAGUUGGUCUGAGUGGACGAGCAGCCACACUGGGACUGAGACACGGCCCAGACUCCUACGGGAGGCAGCAGUGGGGAAUUUUGGACAAUGGGCGCAAGCCUGAUCCAGCAAUGCCGCGUGCAGGAAGAAGGCCUUCGGGUUGUAAACUGCUUUUGUCAGGGAAGAAAUCCUCUAGGUUAAUACCCUUGGGGGGAUGACGGUACCUGAAGAAUAAGCACCGGCUAACUACGUGCCAGCCGCCGCCGUAAUAC
rnacentral:rRNA from 1 species